UACGUAGGGGGCUAGCGUUGUCCGGAAUCAUUGGGCGUAAAGAGCGCGUAGGCGGCCAGAUAAGUCCGGUGUGAAAGUCACAGGCUCAACCUGUGAAUGCCGCUGGAAACUGUCUGGCUAGAGUCCGGGAGGGGCGAGUGGAAUUCCUGGUGUAGCGGUGAAAUGCGCAGAUAUCAGGAAGAACACCCGUGGCGAAAGCGGCUCUCUGGAACGGUACUGACGCUGAGACGCGAAAGCGUGGGGAGCGAACAGG
rnacentral:rRNA from 1 species